UGCAGUCGAACGCUAUUUAUAGAGUGGCGCACGGGUGAGUAACGCGUGGGAACCUGCCUUUCUCUGCGGGAUAACGGUUGGAAACGACCGCUAAUACCGCAUACGCCCUACGGGGGAAAGGUCCGCCGGAGAAAGAGGGGCCCGCGUCUGAUUAGCUUGUUGGUAGGGUAAUGGCCUACCAAGGCGACGAUCAGUAGCUGGUCUGAGAGGAUGAUCAGCCACACUGGGACUGAGACACGGCCCAGACUCCUACGGGAGGCAGCAGUGGGGAAUAUUGGACAAUGGGGGCAACCCUGAUCCAGCAAUGCCGCGUGUGUGAUGAAGGCCUUAGGGUUGUAAAGCACUUUCACUGGUGAAGAUGAUGACGGUAACCAGAGAAGAAGCCCCGGCUAACUUCGUGCCAGCAGCCGCGGUAAUACGAAGGGGGCGAGCGUUGUUCGGAAUUACUGGGCGUAAAGGGCGCGUAGGCGGUCUUUUAAGUUAGGCGUGAAAGCCCCGGGCUCAACCCGGGAACUGCGCUUAAGACUGGAAGACUAGAAAACGGAAGAGGGUAGUGGAAUUCCCAGUGUAGA
rnacentral:rRNA from 1 species